GACGAACGCUGGCGGCGUGCCUAACACAUGCAAGUCAACUUGACUGAAGGAGCAAUCUGACAGUAGAGUGGCGCAAGGGUGCGUAACGCGUAAGUAACUUGCCCAAGGUAAGGAAUAACGUCGAGAAAUCGGCGCUAAUACCUCAUAAUGCAGCGGAUCCGCAUGGAUAUGUUGUUAAAGGUUUACCGCCUUGGGAUAGGCUUGCGUCUGAUUAGCUAGUUGGUGUGGUAACGGCACACCAAGGCUACGAUCAGUAACUGGUCUGAGAGGAUGAUCAGUCACACUGGAACUGAGACACGGUCCAGACUCCUACGGGAGGCAGCAGUGAGGAAUAUUGGGCAAUGCUCGAAAGAGUGACCCACGCAACGCCGCGUGGAGGAUGAAGGUAUUCUAUAUCGUAAACUCCUUUGUAGAGCAGACGAAAGACAGAUUAUUAA
rnacentral:rRNA from 1 species